GGUUGAAUGGUCUAGUGGUUAUGAUUUCUGUCUCACACACAGGAGGUCCCCGGUUCGACCCCGGGUUCAACCA
rnacentral:tRNA from 1 species